UGACCUGUUGAAGUGCUGGUCCCGGCAAGUGAGCUCCCAUCGAUUUCCACAUUUUAAGAAGACGUAUUGCUCAGUAAAGUCUUAACUGAAAAUCAGUUAUUUGUAGAGCCGGAAUGUGUUAUCUUUUAUCGUCAAACAACUGAGAAGCUAAUGCACAUCGUGUGGAAAGCUGUGGCCAGAAAAACUGGUUCAGAGGAUGCACUUCAAUUUGUUUCACCUUGGUAUAAAUUAGAUCGCCUUAGGUUGAUACUGUAAAUGCUAUCCAACUGCACCUCUAAAAGGUUCAGAAAAAUGUAGUCUAAUGAAAAUUCGUCUGAUGGUGUGCGAUUUUGUUACAUCUUGAAAUUGACAACAACUGGUGGAAACAAACCAAGGAAGAGAGAUACCGACAGUGAUUUCCAACAUUGCGACUUGCUUUACGGGGUUUAUGUCAGUGUUAGCGGAGAUUAGUUUCAAGCUGCACAACGUAAAACAAAAUUGACGGUGUUAGAUGAGGAGAUAAUGUGUCAGAUAUAGUUCAAGUUUGAUGGAAUUUUCCUUUCAGCCAGCGGCCUGAGUGACAAGGACGCAGUAAGGUUGUAGGAUUCGACCGACAGUGAAGAAAAUGAUUUAACUUAAAUCAAUUUACGAAUAGAAAACUUGUGUUUAAGUUUACUUUGAAGGUGAUCAGUAUUCGGACAGUCACGCUACCAUGUUGGUAGCCAAAAAGUACCACAUUGCACAAUUACAUUGUUGAUGCAGCAUGCGAAGGCGGGAACGAUUAGUAUCCUAGACAUUUCGCAUAGAGAUAUUCGAAGAAAUCCUCCAUUUUGUCUACUCAGGUUGACCCUUUACACCACUUAACUAAGCCUAGCUGCUGUUUGGGGCAGCAAAAUUUGAUAUCCAUUAACUGGAAAAGCAAUGGCUACAUUUCCUUGAACUCUUGCAACCCAAUAGACAACGUCGAUCAGUUGAUUACUUGGGAACAGUUAUGGUCAGCCGGCGAGCUUUUCAAGGCAGCUGUCAAAGACAAUUGAAGAAAGCUUUUCCCUAUGGAAAUUUUACCAGUGAAAUAAAGAUGGCAAAUUGUUUUGGUGAAUUUACGAAGGCGUACAAUUCUUACUUUCCCAAAAGUAUACGGCUAGCAGUCGGUCUCUAAGGAUUUUGCGGCAGCUGUUUCCUAUCGUCUCUCGCUAAGUCCCUCAGCGCAGUCACCCAUGUAGCCGCUGUAUCGAUCUGUUAUAAGAGACCAAGGGAAACAAGUCAGAUGUUUCGUGCAAAAGUCGCGCAUUUGCGUGUCCUGUUCCAGUUUCUCGUGCAAUAACAUGGCCUUGGCCGUCGGAUAGUCCAAGACGAAAUGAUUCGUGGUGGAUAGCAUCGCAUAAUUAAAGAGAGAAUCAAGAAAUCAACUGUAUUUUAAGUACCAGAACGGUACAUAAAUCGUUCUUACGACGCUGUUUAUCAGCAAGCGAAUGAACGCACUGACUCUCGUCGCUCGGCAAAAUUGAAUUAAACCCGUGAAAGCCGAAGAAGAAGUGAAUUGACGUCACGUUGACUGGAAAUAGCAGUUCCCCCACGCAGCAAAACAACGUAGAAAAAAGUUUGCAAAUAAUUGAGUACACACAAAAAUUAUAAUAAGUAAAUUACACAUCAGCCAUUGCUGUUGUAUCUUACAACGUUUUAAUUAUAUUUUAACAGUUAAAAAACGAUGAGAUUCCAUCAGCUAUCGAGGUGUGUGAGAUAUUUUGACGAGAACACCUACUACGAGGACGAUAACGAACACAAGAACCUGCCAUGAAGAAGGUGAUGAUUUUGGCGAAGAAGUUGAGGCUGCCCUCCUCUCUAGGAAGCUCGUUCCGUUGCUGGUAGCGAGCAUUUUGCUUGUCUGCUUCCAGAUCAUUCUCUGUUAGCUGAGGAAAAGCGAGCCGUUGGGUAAGAGAUAACUGGACGGCGGAGGCUGCGUCGCAAUAAGGAUCAUCGAACAUGUCCAGUACGGCAGGGUGGUUCAUUUCGUUUCCAGCAAGGCUCAGCAGCAGGGCGUCGUUGAUUCCGCCUUCGUUCAGGCACAGCCUCAGGUAUGGACUGGUUGUUCCGAGAUAAUGAUCAAUUAUUAUACAUUUCUGCCCAUAUGGAGGGAUACUAUUCACAUAAAUGGUAGCUCUGGAACUCGCAGAAUAGCUCGAAGACAUAAAGGGAAUGUUCGCUUUUUCUUUUUUUUUUUUGGUCUUCUACGUAAAUGUUCAUUUAUAAGUCAAGGAUUCCAAAUUAAGGGAUGCCUGCCUUGUACACUCAGCAAAUCACUAGAGGGCGUAUGGAAAUUGGAUCGUAAUUGGAUAACGUGAAACUACUCCACAUUGCUACUUGUACAACUGAAUCGCAUAUACAAAAGCGUAGUGGUCAAGACGAUGCUUUACAGUGGGAUCGCGUGACUAGGCUAUGCAAUCUUGUUUUAGUCCUGAAGGAUUUCUCUUCUACGCCGAAACAGUGUCGUCUUACGUUUAGGCGUGGCGUUCACGCCUGUCAUAGACGUUUUUCAUAAUUGACGUGACGGCGCUUUCUGCAGCUAUUUGAUAAAAACAAGAGCCGGAUUUCCGUCUUGCACCCAGGAAAAUACUUCCCUGCAGACGUGAAUGAUCAAUGACGAGUUAUAUGUUGGAGCUUUGAAAUACCCUCAAGCAGUAAAAAAAAAAAUAAUAAUAAUUCUAUGAUUGUAUACUUGGAUAGGCUGAAGUGUGAUGCCAUCAGCGAAGACGUGGAUCCCAAAUGUGAAUUAGCUGACAGUUGGCGUUCCAUGACCUUAUUAUUAUCGGCUUGAUGCAGAUGAUCGGAAGUUGAAGACAGCCAGAGGCUAUUAGGUACUUUGGAUGGAACGGAGAGAAACGUCGAUCGAGAUGAGCUUCUGGACAACAUUCCCGAAUGGUGGUGUGGAGAAAGUGUCGGUUUGUUGGCUGAGCCGUCCGUUCGUGAAUCAACGUUCUCCAUGCAGGACUCGCUGCGAACCGAGCUGAAACUGGGAUUGCGAGUAUGUGAAUAUCCAAGUUCCUGAUCGGCUAGAAAAUGUGAUGAUUCUUGCGAAUCGUAACUGCGACUGUGUUCACUGAUAAUGGACGAGUGUUCGUCGAAACUCCGAUCAAUGCUGGGCUGCCGAUAGACAUCCCUUUGAACGCAGAUCUUGGGUGAAGAUGUUUUUUGUUUACGACCGAUUGUUGUAAUCUGAGUUCCAGUCGAAUCGGACCAGCUGGCCGCCGAAUUGUUAGUCUCUUCCAUCUCCAUCUGGUGUUCACAUUCACUGGGCAACGAGCGAAUCUUUUGGAAAUGUUCUGAUCGUGGCCAACCAUCCAGGCUGUAAUCCACUGGCAAAAAAUUGCGGUGGUGCCUGUAGGAUAUAAUCACAUAAAAUUCUUUUUGUUAUCGUGAGAAUUGAGGUCAAAUGGAAAAUUAAUGGGCCCCUCGUGGUUGCCUUGACUUUUUACAUUUCCUUUGGAACGUCAAGAAAGAAGAAGUGUGGUGAGCGCCUUUUUUAUUUUUAGAGAAUGUACGUCUAGCACAAAGAAGAAAACAAGCAGUUCACAAAACAAAGCCUCUCAGGCACCAGUGGAAUUCACCGGGAAUCCAUCUUGCAGUUUAACAAUGAUGCAGCCCAAAGGAUGAAAGUUAUCCAACAAUCAGCUACUAUAAUUUGAAAGCGGGUCUAUGUCUAACACGUAUCAGCCAUCAGCGUUACCGUCGGCGUUUCUAGUCGCCCUCAUCACGCAUUCAUAAGGAAAAUAUUGAUUUUUCGCUGGAACUAACCCGCAGCAUGAUACACGCCGUGCUGUUUUUAAUAGCAUUAAGGAACGUCCGUCCUUACAUACCGUAGUUAAAAGCUUUUUCUAGGAAAACGGAUACGUCUAGAAUUUAGUCUGACCUUUUCUGAGUUCCGUGGGCGCUAUUUUCAACGAUGGAUGGUUUAUCUUCUUUCAAGUUUGGUUGAUGCUUCUCCAGACUGCUGCGCAGACUUCCUAGUUUCAUCCGGCUUGGCACAGUUAAGUGAUUCGCCGACAGGUCCAAUACGAAGGAUUGUUCGUGCAACUUGUUGUCUAUCACGGUGGGACUCGCCAGCUGAGAGUCGAUGCCGGAAUCUGAAAGUUGGCUAUCGCUUCGACUUGUGAGUUGCUCAAUCUGCCCCAGCCGGGAGCAGAUUUCUUCCGACGCCAGUUUUACUAGAGAAGUAUCCGACUGGUUUGAAUCGUUACUAGACCAUAUUUGCACUAUCGGAUUGUCUGAUGAAGUAUCCUGAUUAAGAACGGUGAUGUGCCAAUCGGGCAUUGUAGAUCGAUCAGCUAACGAAUCACUUUCACAGCUUUGCUCGUCCGUAACGUUGCCUAGCACUUCUUCCUUUCCUGUAGCCAGGCCUUUAACCGGAACCACAUCCGGUAAACGAGUGUCUGCCAUGAAAACAGCCUAGCGUUUCUUUCACAUUAACUUUGGUUCCACCAUUAGAUUCUAUAGUGUUGAUGGCAUUAUAGUUGAAAGUAGGAAGUUUUCUCCGUCGUGAGGAUCUGGGAGGCCAAUAGUUCUAAAGAAAACACAACAAAAACUCGUCAGUGGUUUAAUGCCAUGCAUUUUGUUUAUAUAGCCAUUACGGACGAAUUUCAGAUAGCAUGAUCCACUCACAUAACUCUCCUCGUGCAUCUUCAUUGAUUUUACAAUGAAACCAAUAAGCAAACGAACGCGUUGAGCUGCUACUAUUCUAUAGCUCUAAAGUGGGUAAUGCAAUUUUGAACGGCCCUGGCUUGAAGCUCUCUGGCGGAAAACCGUUUAGACAUUUCGAUGUUGAUAGCUGCCUUUUAUAUAGGCUUUUGCAAUUGGAUGUCAAACAUGAAAUAGAAGAUUGUCAAAACAAAAAAUAAGGUCACGGAAGCAAACAACCAGUGUGGUCUUUAUGUUGCUAUAAAUAUAACCCCGGGAAGGAAAGAAAAACUCUUAUUCCCGUUCUGCUCUAAAGGCUUCAAGUCGUGAUGGAUGGCGUUUUCCCUCCUCGACAGAUGUUAGGGCAACUUCUCACGAGUUUCUUUCUUUUUUUGGAUAACCUCCUAUUCUAGCACUCUACUGUUGGUUUCCCAACGCUCUGUCCAAGUUUAGAUCAUGCUGUGCGACACACAUAAAUGCUUCCAUCGUUGCCUUGCCAACAACUGAAACAUGUAUUGUCCUUUGCUCUUCCUUUUGUUUCUUUCCUUUUUUUUUUUUUUUUUUUAUUUUUGCAGUUGACAGUUGUGUCAAUUCAAAUGCCAACAAAUUCAAAUGUGUGAAUCUAGUGCACUGUCCACGUGUUGUCCACUCAGUCGGAUCGGCUAGACAAGACAUCGAAAAUCGAUGGUUGAUUCUUUUGUUUAUAUCCCGUUUCUAUGCCUACAAUUUUACCUGUGUGCACUUUCCAAAGUUUUGGAAUGACGACACAAGUCCAGCACCAGAGUCUUAAUCAAUAGAUGCACAGAUAAUAGCAAAGUUGCAGUCAAUAGUUUCUGAUAGGAAGGUUACGCUGGAGCGAACGGAUGCACGACGUGAUGAUCAUCGCAAGCUGACGAUAGGGCGUCGCGGGGCGUGCGACGCCUAGCUCUCCUCUGAAUGACGUCCAAUCCCAAACUGAUUUCACGUACUAGACUAGCAAGUGACUAUAACAAGAAAAGGGGGUGAAGAAUACGGGACUUAGAUAUAUUGCAGCGACGGCGCUCUGCUGACCAGUAGACAGAAAGAUUGGACCACUAGUUGCGUUCGGUUUUCCACUUUCGUUAUUUCUUUUUUUUUCUGAAAUUUUUGUUGAUUUUUCUCAUCAUCGAUCCAGGUAAGACGUCGCUACCGAUCUAACUGCAUCGUAUGUAUAUUUCUUAUAGCAACAUUGUUAUAGUCUGCGCACGCACCCAAACGGAUUGCUCCUCGACUAUUCAAUAAGUCUUGUGGGUACUGUAUUCUUACCAGAAAAGGGGGAAAUAGAAUUCUUCCUAGUCAUGGACGUUUUGCACUAGGAAUGAUUUAAAUUUUAAUCUAAUUGCUCUUUCAAAGGUCAAAGAUUCAUAAGAAAAAAAAUGGACGUAAGAAGUUUCUGGAUGCCAUGGAAAUGGACAUUCGUUAACGACAUUCUAUGGAAAAGUCUGCGAAAAUUUUCUUCGCGGCUCGAAUGCAACGCGUCAACAGCCACAAACAAAAAAAAACCCAGAGGGAUAUUAACUAUGGAGCAAACAUCCGAGAUUGUUUCAAAUUUACUCGUAUUACGUACUGUUCAAGUCAUGCCCCUCUCUUCAUCAUUUUACAUUUCUUCUUAAGGGUGUGAACUGUAUCAGUGAUUAUCGGAAGGCCACCGUAGACAACAUAGCUCCCAAACACUGGACAAUAUUAGACGUCAUUAGUACAUCAACUUCCUCUUCUAAAUGGCGCUUCGGGUCUUGACGGCCAACGUUCUUAACUGCAAGCUGCUCAGGUGUCAUCUUUUCUUCUUCUUCCAACGCCUGAUAAAACAAAGUUAGUCUAAGAAUCUAGUCACCCAUCAGGUACAGCAUGUUUUGGUAUUUACUUUGUUAUAAGUUUUCGCUAGUUCGAGCAUGCUGCGAACACUCUGUUCAUUGCUUUUGCAGUGUUGCUCGUAUUCGGCUAGCGACAAUCCCUCGGUCCAAGAUUUCUUGUGCAAAUUCCACAACAUUUUUUGUUCAAGUUCGUUCUUCCUGUAGUUGAUGCUGAUGGAAUAGUAGUGACGAUUGAGUCCAUGAAUCAAGGCCUGAAGAAAUAAAUCCGAAUUUUCGAAA
rnacentral:lncRNA from 1 species